rnacentral:rRNA from 1 species
AUGAACGCUGGCGGCGUGCCUAAUACAUGCAAGUCGAGCGCACAGACGAGGAGCUUGCUCCUCUGACGUUAGCGGCGGACGGGUGAGUAACACGUGGAUAACCUACCUAUAAGACUGGGAUAACUUCGGGAAACCGGAGCUAAUACCGGAUAAUAUAUUGAACCGCAUGGUUCAAUAGUGAAAGACGGUUUUGCUGUCACUUAUAGAUGGAUCCGCGCCGCAUUAGCUAGUUGGUAAGGUAACGGCUUACCAAGGCAACGAUGCGUAGCCGACCUGAGAGGGUGAUCGGCCACACUGGAACUGAGACACGGUCCAGACUCCUACGGGAGGCAGCAAUAGGGAAUCUUCCGCAAUGGGCGAAAGCCUGACGGAGCAACGCCGCGUGAGUGAUGAAGGUCUUCGGAUCGUAAAACUCUGUUAUUAGGGAAGAACAAAUGUGUAAGUAACUAUGCACGUCUUGACGGUACCUAAUCAGAAAGCCACGGCUAACUACGUG